UCCCNGGUAGGCCAGAGCACAGCUUUACAU
rnacentral:piRNA from 1 species